AUAUCCCUGCGGUGUGCGUCAGAGAGACAAUAAAAAGAACUAUAACUUUAAAAGGGAAGCUAAACUUCUUCUAUAUCUGUGGAUAUAGAAGAGAGGUACCCACUUGGUAUCAGGUUCACCUUUUAUUUAUCUCAACGGCAUUUGCGGGGAUUAU
rnacentral:other from 1 species